GUGGGGUUGAGAAGGCUUCUGAGGCUCUCUCUGAGCCGGGUCACCGUGCUGGGAGAAUGGGAUCGGUGGAUGCGGAGAUUGUCUCCAUCGACACUUUCAACAAGUCACCCCCCAAGCGGGGUCUGGUUGUGGGGAUCACGUUCAUCAAGGAUUCAGGGGACAAGGGCAGCCCCUUCCUGAACAUUUACUGCGACUACGAGCCCGGCUCUGAGUACAACCUUGACUCCAUUGCCCGUGAGUGAGGCGUGGACGGGAGGAGGGAGAGGGUCCCCAGCAGGUCCCCCAUGCUAACCUGCCUAUGCCCUGCCUACAGAGAGCUGCCUGAACCUGGAGCUCCAGUUCACUCCCUUCCAGCUGUGCCAUGCAGAGGUCCAGGUCGGGGAUCAACUUGAGACCGUGUUUCUCUUGAGUGGAAACGACCCGGCCAUUCAUCUCUACAAGGAGAACGAGG
rnacentral:sRNA from 1 species